rnacentral:snRNA from 1 species
AUCGCUUUUGGCUCCCUGAGUUUAGAUCAAAUAUAGUAUCUUUUCUUUGCAGAGUAAUUUCUGCAACGGUCUCUAAAUUGAGACAAAAGAAAUAACCAGUAUUUUGCCAACUGGAAUGGUUCUAUGAGCUUGCUCAACCCGUCCGCGGGUCGGCCGCGUUCUGUAGUAACUCAAGGAUUGGCCAUUUAUCC